GGGCGGGGCGAGGCCGGGGGCGGGGAGUGCCUGGGGGAUUCGGGAAGAGGCUGCGGGGGGUCUCCGAAGGAACCUUGUGAGCGGGUGCUCGCGGGCACCGACUAUGUGCCUGGCACCUUUCCGGAUAAAAGUUCAAAGCUCUACACAAGGGUGUGUCUUCUCAAAGCUCACCUUUUGGUGGGGAGGGAAAAGCAUGUAAACAGAACGUGAGCAGCUGUGGCGCAGGAGGGUGGUCGGCAAAGACCCUGGGAAAUGGGGAAGAGGCGCAGGCCUGGGACCAGGCGCAGCCCGCGGCGCUCGCUCCGAGAGGGUCAGGGCACGGUUGGUUGAGAGGCCGGCGACGCGGGACGUGGGAGCUCGGGUGAGGUGAGUUGGGAGGGCCCCCGUCAUGGAUGUUUCCUUCCGUUCUAACGCAGCGGGAAGUUGCUGCAAGAUGUAAAUCUGAAGAGUGGCAUAAUCGUAGAUGUGUGUUCUGCGGAUCUCUCUGCUCCUGUGCAACGAGUGGGGCACAUGGGGUGGAGGGAUGUGGAGGUGCUCCUCACCUGCCCAGGUCGCACCUGCCCUCUCCCCUCACUCCGCUUCACCCCUGCCCGCCGCCAGUUCCGCACGCGCGUCUCAGCAUCCAGCGUUUGGUUCUCCAAUUCCAGCUCCACCGGAACAGGUCUGAAACCUCUCUGCACCUCGACUUCCGCAUUUAAGCGAUGACAGCAGCCUUCUCCAGGGGGCGGUGAGGUCAAAAGAUUUACAGGUGGGAAGUGCAAGGUGCACAGUGGACGCGAGCUGGAUUCUGAGCUUGAUCACUACUUGGAGGUGGGGAAAAGGCGCCCGAGAGAGGGGGACAGUGCGCAGCCAGACGUCCUAGGUCAGGAAGGGCCGGUUUCAGAGGCCGGAGAAUAACCCCAGGCUGUGGAGCGUCCGCAGGAACGCUCGGUGUUGGGGUCCCUUCCUUCCUUCGCAGCCGCACGCCGCCGGCGGCACCUCUGCGCCUGCGCCCUCUCACCUGCAGAUUCCGCCAAGGGCUUGUAUGGACCUAACCAAGAAGGAACAGGACUGCCGGAGCAUUGAGUACUAUCAGCCGCCUAGAGCGGACCCACGAAACCUGGAAUUCAAUUGGUUGGUGAGCUGAGGGGCAGGGCGGAAGUUCAAAUUAGGCAUUUCCGGUCCAGGGGGUUUGACUCGCCGCGGCACCGGAGUUGGCGUUGGCGCUCCUUCACUUCCUGUGGUCGAGCUGAGUGAGUCCCGAGCUAGGGCUCCUGGUGCGGAGGUGCCGGAGCGGCGCUGGGGCGGGCAGGGACGGUGCCGGGGUUCUGAGGGGCCAAAGGACACAGCUCGCGGCCUCAGUGACCCGUAGAGGACGCGCCGAGGGCAGCUGCGGGUUGUUGAGCGCCCGCUUUGUGUUGACCAAGGGACGGGCAGGGCGAGGGUGAUGUGAGGCGGGAGCGGAGGCGGCGGGGCGUGCGGGUCCGCGUGCUGUCCUCCACGCUCCCGAGCAACAUUGAAGCAGGGAAGCCAGAUGGAUAAAAAGGCCUCGCAGAGGAAGGGAGUUUGGGCAAUGUAAGGGGAUGAUCUGAAUUGUGCUUUUUUUUUCUUUUCAGAAGACAGAAAAGUGUAUUUUAUUUAGCAGGAAUGGAUUGAAAGGGUAGAGCUGUGGUGUGAAGGAGGGUCUGCUGUGGGGAAGGAAAGGAACAGGCAGGAGAUGAUAUCUCACACAUGCGCUGGAACAAGCUGAACGCUCAUUCGUUUAGUAGGCACUCGGUGCCUCUUGGCAAACUUCCCUUAGCAUCUCGGUGAGGAGAACUGGGCCUUGCGGUCACCUAGAGCCGAGGGAAAAGGGCGCAUUUCCUCCUGAACUAAACGAAGGAAUUUGUUUAUGUGCAGAGGGCUGUGGGGAGGUGACUUGCUGUGUAUCCCGAGGCCAGUUGGGAAGGCUUUUGUGGGAGUGACACAUGUCACUGCUAAAAUAAAACCAGAUUUGUGGUUUUAGAUGUCA